GUUUCCUCCUAUGAGAGAGAAGUUGGAAAAUAUUACAACAGCCAAGUCAAUACAAAGUGCGAGAUCUGCUUCUGAUAAAAAUAGAAGUAAGACAGGGCGUCCACCUUCCAAAAAGCCAAAAGAUUGCAAGGCCACAACUCGUGUUGGGUCGAUACAAAGUAACGUCUCUUCAGAUUAUAUAGGUGAAUCUGAUGAUGAUCGUAAUGAACUAUUUGCAGCUGCCACUUCUGCUCGUAAUGCUACUAGUCUUGCUUGUUCUGGCCCUUUUUGGAAGAAAAUGGGAUCAAUUUUUAAUUCUGUCAGAUCUGAAGACACAUCAUUCCUUACACAACAGCUAAAUUUGGCCGAAGGGCUUUAUGAGAGUUUGUGUCAGAUGUUUGUAGAUGGAUAUACUGUUUUGGGUGGUGUGAUAACAAAAGAUGCACCUACUUCUGUUGAAGAAAUUGCCAAAACUAACACUGCAACUGGAGGAUUUGGUCUAAAACAGUUUGACAAGAUUCAGAAAAAAGAAGAAAAAGUUGGGGAAGAUUGAUAAAGCCAUUCAGAAUGGGAGAGAAGUAGAGAGAAGGAACAUCGAGCAUGCUUCAAUGGACCAAUUAAUACAAAUGGCUAACAAAAAACGUUUGGUUUGUUGUGGGGGUCAUUCGUCAAAGAGCACAGUUCGUAAGGUUUCAAAACAAGUUGCAUUAGCUUUUAUCAAGCGAACGCUUGAGAGAUGUUGAAAAUUUGGACAGGCAGGCAACAGUUGCUUUAGCGACCUGCAUUGCAAGAUGUCAUGUUUUCUGUACAACCAAGCAGCAACGAAGCAAAAUCUGUUGAAUGUAUUGGCUCUGGAACUGCUAGUAAUAUUUGCGAUGAAACAUCCGACCAUCAAGCAGAAGCCAGGGGGUCAGGUACACACAGUCUAAAUUCCAUGUUACUUGAACUCAAGUGUGUUGUGUUCGUCCAACAUGUAUGUGUUACAGUUGGAAGAGAUGAGCGGGAUGAGAACGAUGAUUAUGAAGAACGAAGGAAUUGAGGAAAGUAGAAGCCUAGGGUUAGGGAUUGAGGAUGGACAAUUGGGAAUUGAGGCGAGGGAAGGAAUGGAAAGAAGGAAAUUAGGGAUUACAACUUAAGAAGAGGAAAGAAUGCACUUACCCUUUGAAGUGGAGCGGAUUGUUGAACAGGUUCAGGAGGCAUUGGAUUCAGUGGAGUUUCAUACCCAAGUUGAGUUGAAGCAGCCCAAGAUUGGUGGCCCAAUAACCUGAAAGGGGAAGAUAAGAUCAGUUUGUUAUAACUGUUAUUGAUGUAAUGUCAGCUGGCAUAUUUUACAAUUUACGUUUUUAGCCCUAUAACUAAAUAAGAUUGGCUG